rnacentral:rRNA from 1 species
AGCGGCGGACGGGUGAGUAACGCGUGGAUAACCUGUCCUACCCACCGGGAUAACAUCUGGAAACAGUUGCUAAGACCGGAUAAGCUUACGGAAUCGCAUGGUUCUGUGAGAAAAAGUAAUGGGGUAGGAGGGGUCCGCGUCUGAUUAGGUAGUUGGUGGGGUAAAAGCCCACCAAGCCUACGAUCAGUAGCCGACCUGAGAGGGUGAUCGGCCACAUUGGGACUGAGACACGGCCCAAACUCCUACGGGAGGCAGCAGUGGGGAAUAUUGCACAAUGGUCGAAAGACUGAUGCAGCAACGCCGCGUGAGGGAAGAAGGUUUUCGGAUCGUAAACCUCUAUCGAUAGGGACGAAAACAAUGACGGUACCUAAGUAAGAAGCCCCGGCUAACUACGUGCCAGCAGCCGCGGUAAAACGUAGGGGGCAAGCGUUAUCCGGAAUUACUGGGUGUAAAGGGUGAGUAGGCGGCUGUUCAAGUCAUAUGUGAAACCCCCAGGCUUAACCUGGGGACUGCAUAAGAAACUGAAUAGCUAGAGUACAGGAGAGGUAAGCGGAAUUCCUAGUGUAGCGGUGAAAUGCGUAGAUAUUAGGAAGAACACCAGUGGCGAAGGCGGCUUACUGGACUGAAACUGACGCUGAGUCACGAAAGCGUGGGGAGCGAACAGGAUUAGAUACCCUGGUAGUCCACGCGGUAAACGAUGAUAGCUAGGUGUCGGGUCGAGAGAUUCGGUGCCGGCGUAAACACAAUAAGCUAUCCACCUGGGGAGUACGGCCGCAAGGCUGAAACUCAGAAGGAAUUGA